rnacentral:rRNA from 1 species
UACGAAGGGGGCGAGCGUUGUUCGGAUUUACUGGGCGUAAAGGGCGCGCAGGCGGCUUAUUUUGUCAGGCGUGAAAGCCCCGGGCUUAACCUGGGAACUGCGUUUGAUACGGAUGGGCUAGAGUUCGGGAGAGGAGAGUGGAAUUCCCAGUGUAGAGGUGAAAUUCGUAGAUAUUGGGAAGAACACCGGUGGCGAAGGCGGCUCUCUGGACCGAUACUGACGCUGAGGCGCGAAAGCGUGGGGAGCGAACAGG